AGAGUUUGAUCCUGGCUCAGAUUGAACGCUGGCGGCAUGCUUAACAUAUGCAAGUCGAACGGUAACAGGACGCUAGGAUCCCUUCGGGGUGACUUUGUCGCUGACGAGUGGCGGACGGGUGAGUAAUGCAUAGGAAUCUGCCCAGUAGUGGGGGAUAACGUGGAGAAAUCCACGCUAAUACCGCAUAUGUCCUACGGGACAAAGCAGGGGACCUUCGGGCCUUGCGCUAUUGGAUGAGCCUAUGUUGGAUUAGCUAGUUGGUAGGGUAAAAGCCUACCAAGGCGAUGAUCCAUAGCUGGUCUGAGAGGAUGAUCAGCUAUACUGGAACUGAGACACGGUCCAGACUCCUACGGGAGGCAGCAGUGGGGAAUAUUGCACAAUGGGCGUAAGCCUGAUGCAGCAAUGCCGCGUGUGUGAAGAAGGCCUGCGGGUUGUAAAGCACUUUUAUUAGGAAAGAAAAAUUCGGGAUUAAUAUUCCCGAGUGUUGAUGGUACCUAAAGAAUAAGCACCGGUUAACUCAGUGUUAGCAGCUGUGGUAAUACUGAGGGUGCAAGCGUUAAUCGGAAUUACUGGGCGUAAAAGCGAGUGUAGGCGGCUACCUAAGUCGGAUGUGAAAUCCCCGGGUUUAACCUGGGAAUUGCAUUCGAUACUGGGUAGCUAGAGUUUGGUAGAGGUAAGUGGAAUUUUGGGUGUAGUGGUGAAAUGUGUAGAUAUUUGGAGGAAUAUUAGUGGUGAAGGUGGCUUACUGGACCAAAACUGACGCUGAGGCUCGAAAGCGUGGGGAGCAAAUAGGAUUAGAUAUUUUGGUAGUUUAUGCUCUAAACGAUGUCAACUAGACGUUGGGUUCAUUAAGGAACUUAGUGUUGUAGCUAAUGCGUUAAGUUGACCGCCUGGGGAGUACGGCCGCAAGGUUGAAACUCAAAGGAAUUGACGGGGGCCCGCACAAGCGGUGGAGCAUGUGGUUUAAUUUGAUGCAGUGUGAAGAACCUUACCAGCCCUUGACAUCCUGGGAAUUUAUUAGAGAUAGUUUGGUGUUUUUGGGAAUUUAGUGAUAGGUGUUGCAUGGCUGUCGUCAGCUCGUGUUGUGAGAUGUUGGGUUAAGUUUUGUAACGAGCGUAACCCUUAUCCUUAGUUGCCAGCAUGUUAUGGUGGGAAUUUUAAGGAGAUUGCCGGUGAUAAACCGGAGGAAGGUGGGGAUGACGUCAAGUCAUUAUGGUCCUUAUGGGCUGGGCUACACACGUGCUACAAUGGUCGGUAUAGAGGGUUGUGAUUCCGUGAGGGGGAGUCAAUUUUAGAAAGCCGAUCUUAGUCCGGAUCGCAGUUUGUAAUUUGACUGCGUGAAGUCGGAAUCGCUAGUAAUUGCGAAUCAGUAAUGUUGUGGUGAAUAUGUUUCCGGGCCUUGUACACACCGCCCGUCACACCAUGGGAGUGGGUUGCACCAGAAGUAGGUAGUCUAACCUUUGGGAGGACGCUUAUUAUGGUGUGAUUCAUGACUGGGGUGAAGUCGAAAUAAGGUA
rnacentral:rRNA from 1 species